rnacentral:rRNA from 1 species
CAGUCGAGGGGCAGCAUGGUCUUAGCUUGCUAAGGCUGAUGGCGACCGGCGCACGGGUGAGUAACACGUAUCCAACCUGCCGUCUACUCUUGGCCAGCCUUCUGAAAGGAAGAUUAAUCCAGGAUGGGAUCAUGAGUUCACAUGUCCGCAUGAUUAAAGGUAUUUUCCGGUAGACGAUGGGGAUGCGUUCCAUUAGAUAGUAGGCGGGGUAACGGCCCACCUAGUCAACGAUGGAUAGGGGUUCUGAGAGGAAGGUCCCCCACAUUGGAACUGAGACACGGUCCAAACUCCUACGGGAGGCAGCAGUGAGGAAUAUUGGUCAAUGGGCGGUGGCCUGAACCAGCCAAGUAGCGUGAAGGAUGACUGCCCUAUGGGUUGUAAACUUCUUUUAUAAAGGAAUAAAGUCGGGUAUGCAUACCCGUUUGCAUGUACUUUAUGAAUAAGGAUCGGCUAACUCCGUGCCAACAGCCGCGGUAAUACGGAGGAUCCGAGCGUUAUCCGGAUUUAUUGGGUU